rnacentral:lncRNA from 1 species
GAUGAGGGAAACUUUAGUUUCUUCAAUGCUUGGAGAUACCUGGGUAUAUUAUUCACUUUGUCACAACUGUUUGGCAUGUACUCCCUGCUGUUUUACCAAGUCCUAAAGGAAAACCACAGUCUUAUACAACCUGUUAGCAAGUUUCUCUGUGUGAAACUAUUGGUUUAUGUUUCCUUUUGUCAAGCACUACUUAAUGUUUUGUUGGUUAUUAUAAAGUGUUCCUGGGAAUGGCAAAGUGCAGAAUUUGUGGCCAUAGGCCUGCAGGGUUUAAUAACCUGAAUUAAAAUGUUCCUUAUGGAGGGCACCCAUCACUUUACGUUCUCUGAGUCAGA